CCCCCCAGGAUAGAGAACGGGUUUGUAAAGGGGGAAGAUUUCCUGUUUGGGACAACUGUAGAGUUCUCCUGUCGUGCUGGGUAUAAAUUAGAAGGGUCAUCUUCUGCCCAAUGUGUGGCAUCAGGAAAUGGAGUUCGUUGGGAUGUAUCUCUUCCAACCUGUAAAACUGCAGGACAGCUGACUGGUCUCUGUGGAGAGCCACCUGCAGUUGCCAAUGGGAGGCACAAUGGCACGCGGGGGGGUUGCCCACGGCUCUAUUGUAGUUUAAAUGUAAUCAUGGUUUCACCCUGGCUGGAGGGAUCUCUAUUCGCUGUACAGCAAGAGAUGAGUACCAUGGAGUCUGGAGCAAACUGUGAUAUAUAAGCGGGUUGAAUGCAAACUGUG